rnacentral:rRNA from 1 species
GUGUGUCAUCAUACCACCCUGAACACAUCCAAACUAUUCUGAUGUUGGAAGCUAAGCAGUGUUGGGUCUACUCAGUACUUUGUUGGGAGACCAUCAUAGAAACAAACACCAGGUGCAUC